GCCAGUUCGGCUGCUGCUUUUAUCCUCUCAGGCAGUCUCUCCCUGGCUUCCAAAGCAGCCAGCCAGGGCUCAGGGUGGCUGGCCCACAAUCCUAGCCAUCCCCCUUCCACACGAAUGAGGGGAUUGAAAACCUCUUCUUUAGAUUGGCUUCUCCUUUUCCACAGGGCAGGGCUCCCCUGCUCCACCCUUGGGGUCGCUCGGAGUUCACUGGCACUGGUUCUAGCCCAGGGUUGCUUUGGUAUCUGCAAGUAUGCCCUGGAUUAUAAGGUGCCUACAAAGUUAAAAUCACAAUGUGGAUGCUGUUACAAGAUUGCCUCCUAGUGGAAUGAGAAGGCAUGUUUGUGUCUGGAGUCACUUUGGUGGAUGGUGCACAUGGAAGCUGAAGGAAGGAGAAGAAUAUCAGAAGAAUGUGCUUUGCUGAGUCCAGAAAUAAUGAUACUUCUCUACCUCACUGUGGUGUGGUCGUGAUUCAACUAAGUCACCAGGAGCUCCGAUACGAUGAAGCCACGGAAACAACUAUCCACAAGUGAAAAUGAAUAAAUAAUUUUACUAGCCAAUGGGUUCAACUUACUGGAACAGAUGAUUUUAUACUAGUUGCUUUGAUAAACAAGUUCUCUGUCACUGCAGAUAGCAGUCCUUUUCGACACGUGUUCUUGCCGGAGAAUGUCUUUUUGCCUUCCACCAUGAAAAGGCACAGCAGAAUCAAGAAACAACCAGACCUGAAAACGGCAUAUACUCUCAUUCUCUCCCUCUGCCUUUCCUGCCUCCUUUACAGACACAGCAAGCGUAGUUAGAUGACAAAGGUUAACCUAAUUCGGUUAACCCUCAAAGCAGCCUCCUAUGCUGAGAUGUUCAUGAAGAUAACUUAUUGCUGAUGUGCUUCUGGAUCACUUCUGGUGCUGUGCUUUUUUUAUAUACUUCUUGCUCCACUUUCAACAAAUUUGACCACAUCAUCAGUGACGUUUUGUAAAAGAUAUCUCCAUAUUUACUGGCAAUAGGGUCUGGGUUUCCAAGAAAGAAGAGGCUUACUCUCUCAUGUUUGAAGGUUCCUUUUUUUCAACCAGUGGUCUGAUAAAGACAAUAAAUGGUUAGACUGGUUAGUUUGGUUUUGUGACAAAAUAUGCCUGCUGUAUGAAUAUUUUUUUGAAAUGCAAAGGAUUUUUGUGAAGCCUUUUUUUUUUCCAGAAUACAGGCUAUAGCCCACAGAUAGAAACUUGUCUCAGUUGCCCUGAGAAGCAUUUGAAAGCAAUUUCACAAGGAAGUGGUCUUACCAGCCAUUAUGUCAAUGAGGGAAAUAUUGUGCUAACCAUCAGAGGUGGUUAGCAGCAAGCUUGGGCUCUCUGUACUCCAGCUGCAGUAUGGGUACAGGCACAAGUGACUGGUAAGAGGGGCCCAGGGGGGCACAUGCCUCCCCUGAGAUUGGCCCCUAAGUCGGCACAGCUCAGGACAGGGCAGUUUUUUUGCCGCAUGCACUGGUGGCAUCUUGGGGGGGAGAGGGCACUAAGUCAUGCCACAGAAAUAUAGGAAUGGAUAUGGGGGUUUUGGCCUGCCCCUAGCCCUGCCCCCAGGCCCACCCACAAAUUGUACCCCCCAGACUCAGGAGGCACCAGUCACCCCUGGGUAUAGGGACAAGCUCCAGCUGCUGCAGCUAGAAAUAGGCUCAACCUACACUGGUUUCAGCUGCCCUCAUGGCAUGGACUCCCAUGGGGCUGCCCGUCUGGUGCUCAGGGUUCAUGCCCCGCUCAUCCUUCCAGAUAUGCUACUGUCCAUCCCCAGCCACAACAGCCAGAGCAUGCACCUGUACCACAGCACUGGCAGCUGGAAUAGGAGAGCCCUGGCUGUGGCAGGUACACUGCUACCCCACUGCCACUCUCCAGUGGUCAGCAUAAUAUCGUCCCCACCCUAUCCCGCUCUGUCCACGGAGUGGGAGCCCACAAGAUAUCAGUGGGGGAGAAGGAGGAAGCACACACAUGUGGGGCUGGGCUCACAUAGGGCUUUGGACAGAUUAGACCUGCCCAGCUAUGUUAGGGUAGAGAAGGGGCAGCUCCGGCUUCCUUACCCAGUGUCCCUGCUCCUAUAUACCACCUAGGGCAGCCAAACCUGGGGCUCUGCCCAGCCAGGGGGAAGGAGUUUGGACCACACUUUGGCAAGCUGCUCCCCCUGUCAGCAAAGGGUGUCAUGGGGUCACACCUCCAUUUUUCAAAAUCUUAGCUCCACCUAUGUCUACAUAGUGGUAGCAGUGUGCUAGAGCUGAGUCAGCCUCAAGUACACCCUGCCCACCCACACCUGCAUGUGCACUUCACACCCAGAAAUAAAUUCAUGAAGACACUCUGAGGCAUCCCUCUCUGCUGCUGCAUGCUCUCAAGCAUGCUGGAGACCAAGGCAUGUAUCUGGGUUUGGAUUGUGCUUGCAGAAGCAGGUGGGCAGGGUAUGCUGAUGUUUGUCCCAGCAUGGGCAUGCUGUCUCUACUGCCCUCAAAUAAACAAGGUAUGUUAAAAUAUAUCCAGACUCCACAUUCCAUAAGAAAUAUCCCUGGCCCUGGAAUCUGCUACCACUAAACAAAGAGGUGACAAAACUAAUGGUGUUAAGGGAAUCAUAGUCACUUCUGCACAGAGAGGGUCAAAUAGAUCUCUGCCAGUUUAGACCAGCUUUGGGUCUAGCCCCAGAAAGUAAGGGCUUCAUAAUUGUCAGGGUUUGAGACAAGAAAAGGGUUUUUUUGGUGAUAUCUCUUAUUAGACCAAAUGUAUAGUUGGGAGAGUUGUUAGAGAAGCUUUUGGGCACAAAGUGUCCUUCCUUAGGUGCCUUUGGAAAUCUUGUGUAACAUCUCUCCCAACUAUACCAUUGAUCCAAUAAAUAUAUUACCAAAAAUCCUAUCUUCACACAUAUUUCCUGGGCCAUCAUGGCUACAACAAAACUCCAACCCUGCUACUGGGUUCUGAGAUUAAAUUGGAAAAAAAAAAUCUUUAGUAUCACCCCAUUGGCUUUAAUAAAGGAACACCACAAAUUAACUUCGAAUAAUGUUAAAAUCAAUGCAAUUGAACCAAGGAUUGUUAUGCUAGGGAUGACUUUAUCCUAGGCUCCAGAUCCCCUGAUCUCCCUGAACUGUACUCCAUAUAAGGCCAGGUGCAUGAGGAAAGUAUCUUUCAACUACCUUGUAGAAACUUGAUCAUAGGGCCAAUCUGGCUGUGGAAAUUACUAGGCCUGUGUGAAGUGGCUAGUAUUCAGUUUGGAUUCAGCUGAUUUGGGGGACAGUGAUUUGAUUUAGUGAUUCGAAUCACAGUCCCAAAUUGAUUUGGCUGAAUCUGAUUCAGAGAUUCAGCUGCCACCAAAUCGGACACAUCUCUGAAUCAAGCAGGUCCCCAUCCCCCACCCACUCUCCCAGCCCAGUCAAUGGCUGCCAUGCCUGGCCCCAGCAUCCCGGUACUUAAAAAAAAAAUAAAGCUAUGAU